rnacentral:rRNA from 1 species
AGGGUGUAAACGCUGCAGACUUGGUGUUGGAGGCCCUUUGGGGGCAUUCAGUGCCGGAGAGAAGUUGUUAAGUCUGCUACUUGGGGAGUACGUCCGCAAGGAUGAAACUUAAAGGAAUUGGCGGGGGAGCACCGCAACGGGAGGAGCGUGCGGUUUAAUUGGAUUCAACACCGUAAAACUCACCAGGGAAGACUGUUACAUGAAGGCCGAGAUGAAGACUCUGCUAGAUUUUCAGAGAGGAGGUGCAUGGCGUCAGUGACU